rnacentral:rRNA from 1 species
CGUCUAGGCGGGCCAGCCAGUCAGGUGUGAAACCCCCCGGCUCAACCGGGGAUCUGCACUUGAUACUGCUGGUCUUGAGUACGGAAGAGGAAGGCGGAAUUCCUGGUGUAGCGGUGAAAUGCGUAGAUAUCAGGAAGAACACCGGUGGCGAAGGCGGCCUUCUGGUCCGAUACUGACGCUAAAGCGCGAAAGUGUGGGGAGCAAACA